GCCAGUUACAAGGCCAGUUACAAGGCCAGGGCCAGUUACAAGGCCAGUUACAAGGCCAGUUACAAGGCCAGUUACAAGGCCAUUAUUUUACAUUGAUGUUCAGAACACGAUAUUGGUUGAACAACAAUGGUUGAUGCUGCUAGUACAGGAAAGUACACUCUUCGUAAAAGGACUCUACGGCUGUCUCCGUAGGAGCACCCUUAAAGGGUUCGACAUGGAACCCAAAAAGGUUCUAACCGGACAACCCAAAAAGUGAACUUCAAAGGGUUAUCCUAUGGGGACAGCCGAAGAACUAUUUCUGGUUCUAGAUAGCACCUUUUUUCCCCUAAGAGCGUAGUAUGGACGGCAGGAUUGUGUGAUCAACAACACAUUCCGUGUGGAAGAUAUGACAUUAGUCCUCAACUAAACCCCAAGUUUCCUCCUAAGGCUUCUCAGUAACCACACCAACAACACCAACACCACAAACAACACUAAUAACACCACCAACAACACUAACAACACCACCAACAACAACACUACCAACACCACCAAGAACACCACCAACACCAACAACACUACCAACAUCACCAACAACACCACCACCAACAACACUACCAUCACCAACAACACCACCACCAACAACAACAACAACACCACCACCAACACCACCAACAACACUACCAACACCACCAACAGCACCAACACCAAAACCAACAACACCACCAAGAACAACACCACCACCAACAACACCACUAACAACACCAACACCAAAACAACACUACCAACAACACCACCACCACCAACACCAAAACCAACAGCCCCACCAAGAACACCACCACCAACAACACCAACAAGAACAACAACAGCAGCAACACCACCAACAGCAACACCAACUAC
ensembl:lncRNA